rnacentral:rRNA from 1 species
GACGAAGGAUGCAAGCGUUAUCCGGAUUCACUGGGUUUAAAGGGUGCGUAGGUGGGCUGGUAAGUCAGUGGUGAAAUCUCCAGGCUUAACUUGGAAACUGCCAUUGAUACUAUUAGUCUUGAAUACCGUGGAGGUCAGCGGAAUAUGUCAUGUAGCGGUGAAAUGCUUAGAUAUGACAUAGAACACCAAUUGCGAAGGCAGCUGGCUACACGAAUAUUGACACUGAUGCACGAAAGCGUGGGGGAUCAAACAGG